GUCCUAGCCGUAAACGGUGCGCAUUUGCUGUGAGCGGAAUCGACCCCGUUCGUGGCGAAGCUAACGCGAUAAAUGCGCCGCCUGGGAAGUACGGUCGCAAGAUUAAAACUCAAAGAAAUUGACGGGGGCCUGCACAAGCGGUGGAGUAUGUGGCUCAAUUCGAUGCAACGCGAAGAACCUUACCUGGCCUUGACAUGUACGUAGUAGAAGGGUGAAAGCCUGACGAGGUAGCAAUACCAGCGUACACAGGUGCUGCAUGGCUGUCGU
rnacentral:rRNA from 1 species